AACGUAGGUACCGAGCGUUAUCCGGAUUUACUGGGCGUAAAGCGUGUUCAGGCGGCCUGGCAAGUCGGGCAUGAAAUCUCUCGGCUCAACCGGGAGAGGCUGUCCGAUACUGCUGGGCUUGAGGACGGUAGAGGGUGGUGGAAUUCCGCGUGUAGUGGUGAAAUGCGUAGAUAUGCGGAGGAACACCAGUGGCGAAGGCGGCCACCUGGACCGUCCCUGACGCUCAAACACGAAAGCUAGGGUAGCGAACGGG
rnacentral:rRNA from 2 species